rnacentral:piRNA from 1 species
UUCACCUACCUCUGCGUCUUCUUUGC